rnacentral:lncRNA from 1 species
AGGAUUUUCUUUAGCCAGCGUUUGGAGUUCCUGCAUUCGUCCCAGUGCCAGUGAAAACGAGGGUGGAAGAAUUUCCAGUGUUGCUGAAAACUGGACGAAACUUCGGCUGAGAAACAGACGAGACUUCGGAGCUGUUGCUGUUUCUGCUGCUACAGCUUAAGCUAGCUGCCUGCAGAACUUACCUGGACUGUGAUUUAAGCUAGCUGCCUGCAGAACUUACCUGGACUGUGAUUUAAGCUAGCUGCCUGCAGAACUUACCUGGACUGUGAUUUACCUGGACUGUGAGUUAAUCUAUUGAGACACUGCUUUACCUGGACUGAGACAACAAACUGUAAUCUACAACAAAUUGUAACUCGGUAUCUUUGCUAACAGUGUCAUUGCUGGUAUAAUUUUUCCAAGGGCUUCUUGCAUGGAGCCAUCAAUUGGCUUGGUAUUGUGGCAUUUUGUAUCCUCCC